CAAUAGCGUAUAUUUAAGUUGUUGCAGUUAAAAAGCUCGUAGUCGGAUUUUGGCUGAGAACGAACGGUCCGCCGUUAGGUGUGCACUGUUUGGUCUCAGCUUCCUGGUGAGGAGGUGUGCUUCACGGCCACUUAGUCACCGUGGUUACUUUGAAAAAAUUAGAGUGUUCAAAGCGGGCUUACGCUUGAAUAUAUUAGCAUGGAAUAACACCAUAGGACUCCUGUCCUAUCUCGUUGGUCUCGGGACGGGAGUAAUGAUUAAGAGGAACAGUUGGGGGCAUUCGUAUUUCAUUGUCAGAGGUGAAAUUCUUGGAUUUAUGAAAGACGAACUUCUGCGAAAGCAUUUGCCAAGGAUGUUUUCAUUGA
rnacentral:rRNA from 1 species